rnacentral:rRNA from 1 species
GAUGAACGCUGGCGGCGUGCCUAAUACAUGCAAGUUGAGCGAAUGGAUUAAGAGCUUGCUCUUAUGAAGUUAGCGGCGGACGGGUGAGUAACACGUGGGUAACCUGCCCAUAAGACUGGGAUAACUCCGGGAAACCGGGGCCAAUACCGGAUAACAUUUUGAUCCGCAUGGUUCGAAAUUGAAAGGCGGCAUCGGUUGUCACUUAUGGAUGGACCCGCGUCGCAUUAUCUAGUUGGUGAGGUAACGGCUCACCAAGGCAACGAUGCGUAGCCGACCUGAGAGGGUGAUCGGCCACACUGGGACUGAGACACGGCCCAGACUCCUACGGGAGGCAGCAGUAGGGAAUCUUCCGCAAUGGACGAAAGUCUGACGGAGCAACGCCGCGUGAGUGAUGAAGGCUUUCGGGUCGUAAAACUCUGUUGUUAGGGAAGAACAAGUGCUAGUUGAAUAAGCUGGCACCUUGACGGUACCUAACCAGAAAGCCACGGCUAACUACGUGCCAGCCGCCGCGGUAA